CCAGACAGCCAGGAUGUUGGCUUAGAAGCAGCCAUCAUUUAAAGAAAGCGUAAUAGCUCACUGGUCGAGUCGGCCUGCGCGGAAGAUGUAACGGGGCUAAACCAUGCACCGAAGCUGCGGCAGCGACGCUUAUGCGUUGUUGGGUAGGGGAGCGUUCUGUAAGCCUGCGAAGGUGUACUGUGAGGUAUGCUGGAGGUAUCAGAAGUGCGAAUGCUGACAUAAGUAACGAUAAAGCGGGUGAAAAGCCCGCUCGCCGGAAGACCAAGGGUUCCUGUCCAACGUUAAUCGGGGCAGGGUGAGUCGACCCCUAAGGCGAGGCCGAAAGGCGUAGUCGAUGGGAAACAGGUUAAUAUUCCUGUACUUGGUGUUACUGCGAAGGGGGGACGGAGAAGGCUAUGUUGGCCGGGCGACGGUUGUCCCGGUUUAAGCGUGUAGGCUGGUUUUCCAGGCAAAUCCGGAAAAUCAAGGCUGAGGCGUGAUGACGAGGCACUACGGUGCUGAAGCAACAAAUGCCCUGCUUCCAGGAAAAGCCUCUAAGCAUCAGGUAACAUCAAAUCGUACCCCAAACCGACACAGGUGGUCAGGUAGAGAAUACCAAGGCGCUUGAGAGAACUCGGGUGAAGGAACUAGGCAAAAUGGUGCCGUAACUUCGGGAGAAGGCACGCUGAUAUGUAGGUGAAGCGACUUGCUCGUGGAGCUGAAAUCAGUCGAAGAUACCAGCUGGCUGCAACUGUUUAUUAAAAACACAGCACUGUGCAAACACGAAAGUGGACGUAUACGGUGUGACGCCUGCCCGGUGCCGGAAGGUUAAUUGAUGGGGUUAGCGGUAACGCGAAGCUCUUGAUCGAAGCCCCGGUAAACGGCGGCCGUAACUAUAACGGUCCUAAGGUAGCGAAAUUCCUUGUCGGGUAAGUUCCGACCUGCACGAAUGGCGUAAUGAUGGCCAGGCUGUCUCCACCCGAGACUCAGUGAAAUUGAACUCGCUGUGAAGAUGCAGUGUACCCGCGGCAAGACGGAAAGACCCCGUGAACCUUUACUAUAGCUUGACACUGAACAUUGAGCCUUGAUGUGUAGGAUAGGUGGGAGGCUUUGAAGUGUGGACGCCAGUCUGCAUGGAGCCGACCUUGAAAUACCACCCUUUAAUGUUUGAUGUUCUAACGUUGGCCCCUAAUCGGGGUUGCGGACAGUGUCUGGUGGGUAGUUUGACUGGGGCGGUCUCCUCCUAAAGAGUAACGGAGGAGCACGAAGGUUGGCUAAUCCUGGUCGGACAUCAGGAGGUUAGUGCAAUGGCAUAAGCCAGC
rnacentral:rRNA from 1 species